GGCGUGGCGGCAGCUUACACAUGCAAGUCGAACGAUGACUCUCUAGCUUGCUAGAGAAGAUUAGUGGCGGACGGGUGAGUAACAUUUAGGAAUCUACCUAGUAGUGGGGGAUAGCUCGGGGAAACUCGAAUUAAUACCGCAUACGACCUACGGGUGAAAGGGGGCGCAAGCUCUUGCUAUUAGAUGAGCCUAAAUCAGAUUAGCUAGUUGGUGGGGUAAAGGCCCACCAAGGCGACGAUCUGUAACUGGUCUGAGAGGAUGAUCAGUCACACCGGAACUGAGACACGGUCCGGACUCCUACGGGAGGCAGCAGUGGGGAAUAUUGGACAAUGGGGGCAACCCUGAUCCAGCCAUGCCGCGUGUGUGAAGAAGGCCUUUUGGUUGUAAAGCACUUUAAGCAGGGAGGAGAGGCUAAUGGUUAAUACCCAUUAGAUUAGACGUUACCUGCAGAAUAAGCACCGGCUAACUCUGUGCCAGCAGCCGCGGUAAUACAGAGGGUGCGAGCGUUAAUCGGAAUUACUGGGCGUAAAGCGAGUGUAGGUGGCUCAUUAAGUCACAUGUGAAAUCCCCGGGCUUAACCUGGGAACUGCAUGUGAUACUGGUGGUGCUAGAAUAUGUGAGAGGGAAGUAGAAUUCCAGGUGUAGCGGUGAAAUGCGUAGAGAUCUGGAGGAAUACCGAUGGCGAAGGCAGCUUCCUGGCAUAAUAUUGACACUGAGAUUCGAAAGCGUGGGUAGCAAACAGGAUUAGAUACCCUGGUAGUCCACGCCGUAAACGAUGUCUACUAGCCGUUGGGGUCCUUGAGACUUUAGUGGCGCAGUUAACGCGAUAAGUAGACCGCCUGGGGAGUACGGCCGCAAGGUUAAAACUCAAAUGAAUUGACGGGGGCCCGCACAAGCGGUGGAGCAUGUGGUUUAAUUCGAUGCAACGCGAAGAACCUUACCUGGUCUUGACAUAGUGAGAAUCUCUCAGAGAUGAGAGAGUGCCUUCGGGAACUCACAUACAGGUGCUGCAUGGCUGUCGUCAGCUCGUGUCGUGAGAUGUUGGGUUAAGUCCCGCAACGAGCGCAACCAUUGC
rnacentral:rRNA from 1 species